AUGAUAACCGGCCUCACGCAGACGGUGCUCCCAGGGUUCUCUCCCCGAUCGCAGAUGAGACUCAGAAGGCACUGUCCCUCAGCCCCGGGUGGGGCAGCCUGUGGACCAAUCCAUCCUCUCUAUCGCCUCUCGCCCGGAAGCGACUGCAGCCUGCAUCACCACCUCCCGUGCGCGCCCUUCUGAGCGCAGGCUGAGAGCAGCUCCUAGAGCUCAGGAAGACGCCCGCUGGUCACCCGCUCUCAGGCCGUCAGGGCAGAGCUCGACGCCCCGGGCCAGGAGGAGCUGUGUCUGCCACRCCCUGGAGGAGGUGCAGUCCCCGUUUUGCUCGGGGACCCCCGUGAUUCAGACGGGCUGGCGGGCCGUGGGUAGCCCAGGUUGGGCACACGGUGCUGGAGGUGGGUGAGAGGCUCCUCCCGCAGGGCUGGGACGCCAGAGGCAGGGCCCCCCAGGUCCAGAGGCCCACAGGAGGGUGCAGAGAGGCAGCAUGGAGGCUGUGGCAGGGACCCCGGGGACGGGGUGGAGCUGCCCCAGGACGUAGGCCGGGGCUCCUUGGUCGCCUGGCUGCAGGAGGCCCUCUGUGGACCAGGCCAGCUCCUCCUCAGCAAUCCCAGGGCAGAGGAUAAAGGGAGCCGGGACACCCAGAAGACCCCCAGGAUCAGCAGAGCCCCCAGGGUGGCACCCCCAGGACGAAGGCUCGGGCAGCCCUCCAGGAGGAGGGGCAGCCAGAGGGGCCACUGGCUCUCUAGCUCACCCUUGGGCAGGGCCCAGGGACAGGUCUCAGGGCAAAUGGGGCUCUGGUCCCAGCCCUCCGAGCAAGGGGCCUCCUCAGAGGGGCUGCCUCCACAACGGUCCCCCUCAUGCAGCCUGGCAAGAGCCGUGAGAGGAGACAGGCCCAACAGGAGGGCUUCCUGGAGGAGGUGACGUCUGAGCUGACCCAGGAGGGAGGAGCAGGGUGUGGGAGCGGUGUGGCCAGAAGGGACACCAGGGGACAGCAGCAGUCCCUGGCAGCAUGUCUUUCUCUUUCUGCAUCCCUGGGUCAGUGGGGGAGGGGGUGGCCCACCAGCCCCAGACCACGGGUGUCCCGGCAGGGCCAGCUCUUCUCCUGACAGGGACGCAGCACAGCCUUUGCACAGUCACCACUGCAAAAUCCUGUUGGCCAACGGGAGUCACGAGCCAAGUGCACGCCGGGGACCAGGACAGAGGCUCUUCCACCAMGAGGUCCCAUGUGAUGUCCUGCCACAGAGGGCGGGGCCACGGCCAGGAGCGGGGCCAGGGCUGCCUCGUCCUCGCCCCAGUGACUCAGGGAAGCAUCCCCCAGCUCCACUGUGGGCUCAGGGGGUCCCACGAGGGGGGUGCUGGGCGUGGAGUCAGGGGCAGUCUUCACCCCUCACUCUGCAGCCUGCUUCCUGGGCGUCAGAGCAGACCCGGGCACGGCACCAGGAACAGCCGCAGGAGGAGGCGCAGCCCCAGCCGAGAGGCCACGGAAGGACCAGGCCUGACUCCCCAGGGACCCCAGGAGGGUGCAGGAUGCCCCGGCCAGGCCGAGCACACGCGGGCUCAGCCACCUCCUUCCUGCCUGCCCCCAGGCCCAGCCCCAGCAGCCCCGCCAGCAAGCCUCGUUCCAGUAAUCCACACGAUGAUGCCACAUAAAAAGACUGCUUUCCCGGAAAACUGCUGACACUCGGGUCUGGGAAAGAGAGGGCUUACGAGAGACGGGCUUCCAAUCCAUACGGGGCUCGACGCUCAGACCUUAAUCAAUCUGCAUCCCUCGGAGCUAAAACACUUGUGAUUUGUGAGAUCCACAAGUCAGAUCUCUCUGUGUCCCCCUGUGUCACCAACAGCAAAGAGGAGCGCUCUCCUGACAGCCCCCCGGCCACUUUGAGACCCUCCUAGGGACACGCAUGGGGUCCCAGCCCUCACACACUGGCCACAAAUGGUACACAGGCCAAGAAGCACCUGCUUCUCCCGAGGGACUGCCAGGGCCACUCUGCCGCCUCUAGGGGACCCUGUCCCUGUGCUCAUCGUCCGCAUCGCCCAGCGAAUCCUCAGGGGCCCUUGCAGGUGAAUCCACGACUCGGACAGGCCCUGGCCUGGGCUCUCCGCCCACUCACCAGGAGAUAGCAGACCAGCCAUCUUCCCAGCUCCGGCGACAUGUUUGUGUUGGGGGCUGGGUCAGAAAAGUAUAGACAAUUCAGCUUCUUCCAUUUUAAUGCCACAGAGUCAGAUUCCUCCUGCAGUCUCCUCCCACCAGGGGGACACCGUCCGACCGUCCGACAGUCCCUCGUUUAUGCUACUGUGAGGGAAGGGAGAUAAGCCGCUGCACCAAGAUCUGCACACAGGCUCGCCAUCACACACGGUGC